rnacentral:rRNA from 1 species
CUGCAUGAGACCGUCCAUGAGAUGCACCGGAAAAACAUGAGUGGAGUAGUAUUCAAAAUAGACUUUGAAAAAGCCUAUGACAAGGUCAAAUGGUCUUUCCUCCAACAGGCCCUAAGGAUGAAAGGCUUCUCCGAUAAAUGGUGCAAGUGGAUCCACAAUUUUGUAACUAGAGGUAGUGUGGCCAUCAAAGUCAAUGAUGAUGUCGGCCAUUACUUUCAGAUAAGAAAAGGACUACGACAGGGUGAUGCCAUAUCCCCAAUGUUAUUUAACAUUGUGGCUGACAUGUUGGCUAUUCUGAUUGAGCGCGCCAAGCAGGACGGGCAAAUUACAGGAGUAGUGCCACAUCUAGUGGAUGGUGGUCUCUCUAUUCUGCAAUAUGCCGAUGACACAAUUCUCUUUAUGGAACAUGACCUAGACAAGGCUAGAAACCUGAAACUUCUGCUGUCAGCGUUUGAGCAAAUGUCGGGUCUUAAGAUUAACUUCCAUAAAAGUGAAUUGUUC